rnacentral:rRNA from 1 species
CCUACGGGUGGCAGCAGUGGGGGAUAUUGCACAAUGGGGGGAACCCUGAUGCAGCGACGCCGCGUGAAGGAAGAAGGCUUUCGGGUUGUAAACUUCUUUUGACAGGGAAGAGCAGAAGACGGUACCUGUCGAAUAAGCCACGGCUAACUACGUGCCAGCAGCCGCGGUAAUACGUAGGUGGCAAGCGUUGUCCGGAUUUACUGGGUGUAAAGGGCGUGUAGCCGGGCUGACAAGUCAGAUGUGAAAUCCGGGGGCUCAACCCCCGAACUGCAUUUGAAACUGUUGGUCUUGAGUAUCGGAGAGGCAGGCGGAAUGCGCGGUGUAGCGGUGAAAUGCAUAGAUAUCGCGCAGAACUCCGAUUGCGAAGGCAGCAUGCCGGCUCCACACUGACGCUGAGGCACGAAAGCGUGGGUAUCGAACAGGAUUAGAUACCCCUGUAGUC